rnacentral:rRNA from 1 species
CCCUUAGAUGUUCUGGGCCGCACACGCGCUACACUGAAGGAGGCAGCGUGUACUCCUGGAUCGAAAGAUUUGGGUAACCCGCGAAUCUCCUUCGUGCUAGGGAUUGAGGUUUGCAAUUAUCCUUCAUGAACGAGGAAUUCCCAGUAAGUGCAAGUCAUAAGCUUGCGCUGACUACGUCCCUGCCCUUUGUACACACCGCCCGUCGCUACUACCGAUUGAAUGAUUUAGUGAGGACUUCGGACUGGGACCGAUGCGGCUUCGGGCUGCGUCGGUAUUCUGGAAAGAUGUCCAAACUGUAUCAUUUAGAGGAAGUAAAANUCGUANCA